AUUAACCCUUGCAACCAGUAGAAUAGCAAUUAAAACUUAAUUAGUAGCUAGUGAAAUCUUAUUUGGAGUUCAUCCCAUGUAGUUCAUUUUUUGUGCAUGUUCAUCCUUACCAUUGAUAAUUUGAUUAUGUAGAGAUAUUUUUUUAACAAGUCUUAUAUAGUUUCAUAAUAAAUAUCUUAUUCCCAAUACUGAUAGUAAAGCCAAUUACUGACACUAAUUACAAGAUAUAUUUCCCAGUUUAAUUUGCACUUUAAUACAUUACUUUCAGCAUUGGAAAAAUGUUUUGAGAUUUACGAAACUAUUAUUAAUUUGUGCGUGGAAUAUUCGUGGAUGAGUCCAAUAUUUACGCUCUCAUUUGAAUGACUCUGCCAUGUGGUUGAGAAAAGUUCUGACCAAUUAUUUGGUUCAUAUGUAUAUAUGUUCAUUCGGCGAAGGAACAAGACUCAUAAAACAAAGAGUGGACUUGACUUCAAGGGCCAUUUCCAUGGCUAACCCAACCAUUUAUGCCGGCUCAAAAGGCAUUCAAGAAGCUGCAAUUCUGGAUGUCUUAGCGCUGGGUUAUGUGGCUGUUGGACACCUAAAAACUGUUGCUUCUCUGUUGAAUGUGUGCCUUGUAUUAACUCCAUCUUGUGAAGGCAGAGAAAGCUAGAGGAUACAUUCCAAGAGAAUUCAAAUUGGCUGAAGCUUUUGGGCUCAACCAGUGAAUGUUCCAACUAGUUUUAAGCAGAGGGCAAUGCUGGUGGAUGAGAUUUGGCAUGCUGCAGGUGACAAUGCUUCUGAUAUUGAUUGGUAUGCCAAGCGCACUGUCCUAGCAAGACUAUACUUGACAACCGAGAUUUAUAUGCUGACAUAUACAUCUCCUGACUUCCAUGAUACAUGGGCUUUCUUGGAUGCUCGAGUGAAAGAUGCUUUUGAUCUAAAGAAAACCAUUCAAGAGCUCCACCAAACAUUGCUGGGAAUCAUUCUGAUAGGGGGAUAUUGAGCUCGGUUAUGUACUUGUUGGGCACAAGGUUGUAAGAAAAAUAUUAAAUACAGAAAAUGAGGGACCCUGACGUGAUCUUGAGACCCCAGACCUGCUAUUAAUUUUCCAUUGCUUUUGUAAUUAUACAUGUGUUUUGCUUAGUUAGUGAAUUUCGGCUGGAUAGGAGGUUGAAGGGUUUUUUGUUACAGAAAAAACCUGGAAAGUUUUGUAUAAGGAUUAAUGUAUAAAACAAUU